GCUACCGACGUGGAUACAAGUCACCUGGCGUUCUCCUCCAACAACACUGGCACCGGCUUGGCAGUGCCAACCCCGCACAAAGGGUCCGGGUCUCAAAGCUAGCGGCUUCCCAAGGACUCACCACCGAGCCCGUGGACACAGGUCCCGAUUCCACAUAACACAGCCCAAGUGGAACGACCAGUUUCGGCUAAGGGAGGAGCGCCACUGAGGUCAGUGCAGACUGGGGCUGACAGCAAUCCGAGCCCCGGUCCGUUAGACGAUGGACAACACUUCCCCAAGUGCCCCGCGGUUCACCAGGACGGAGCUGGCCUUCUUGCUUGCAACUAGGGAAAACAGUCACCAGUGGUGUUUAAGUGCGUCCAGACGCGCCAAGGGGCUCAGCUUAAGAUCCUGCUUGAGCGCCCUCUCUUCAGUCCGGCACGCAGAGCCUGGGAGUGCAACUUGGUGCUGAGAAGAAUGUGAAUAGGCCCUUUGCUUUCCUGCUCUGGACCACAUUUCCCAGAGGCCUCCGCGGCUGAAGCCUAUUUCUUACUACAAGGUGCUUCCUCCUCGCGGUAGGCUGGAGCUUCGCGGUCCCUGAGACCCCUGUUCCGUGAAGAAAGCACCACUUAGAAGCAGUAGUUCCGUCUGAGUCAGGUUGUGCCCGGGACUGGGCUUCAGCGGCGUGAAGUAAGGAAAGAUCAGGGUCCCGUGGCGGAAUGGACAGUGCCAGCCCCAACGUAUGGCUCCAGACAGCCCUCAGAAAAGGAAAGAACGGCGUUGUGUGACCGUGUGGGAGACUUCUACAUGGAAUUUUGGGUCGGGAGUCCCUUGGGGUGGAGAGACUCUAAAUCCAGUGACUUUUGAGGUCGUGAGAAAAUUUGCUACCGUUUGUGUGGCCAUGGUCGCGUUGUGUGUUCUUGUGACGACUCUGACGCUGCGGCUUUUUCAGAUACAGUGUGCUUGGAUUAUUUGUUUCUGGACUCCUCGAUUAUGACUGUGAAAAGUGUUUUUUGGUCUUGAUGUGAAGGACUAGUUACUUAACUUUUCCGUGUCUUUGUGCCGGAAAGUCAGUGACAGCGCUUCAGUGGCCCUCUCCCAGCCCUCACCUAACUCCCUCCUUUCUAUUGUGUGCACAAGUUUCGAUAUGUUUCCAUUUUGCAGCCUGGGAGAGACAUCAGUCUAAUGGAAUGGCUUGACCUCCUUGAAUUCAAAACCAGGAAUAAGCCCCAGUUGCGUAUCAGGAUGGGAACUCUGCACAAAGGUUGCUUGAUAUAUGCUUUUUGCUGAGUGGCAAGGCCCCCUCCCCCUGGAAUGUGUAAAUACCUGUUAAAAUUAAAACCAGCAAAUUUUGGUUAGAUCUCAGAGAGUGUAGUUGACUCAAUUUAUGAAAUGCGGAGACUCCAAUUGCCAUGAGGUAGAGAGGAGUUCCAAUGAACAAGGAGUGUAAUGGAUUGUUACAGGCAGAAUAAGCCAGAACACUGGGAGAGAAUUUUUAUUUGUUAAUGCAGACUAUGUUUCCUAAUAUGGUUUGUGCAGGUAGUUGCUAAGGAAUGAGGAAGUUAUGUGGCAUAGGAAUGAGGACGUUAGAUGGCAUAAGAAUGAGGAAGUUAGCUGACAAUAACUGAUUGGCUAUAUUUAAAUCUGGUUUUCUGGGCAAGCUGGGCAUUUACAAGAAAUAAAAACUUAGGUUUUUGAUUUGUUGAUGUGGGUCUUCGCAUGAACACCUCCAUAUUUGGCCUACUAGAUUUUAUUUAUCAUAUUCAACCCUCAAACAGCACAGAGUCUCUCCUGUCCAACACGAAGUGAGGUGUGGAGAACUACCAUAUACCAAAACUGACCUGGGCAGUUUGGCCUCCCCGAGAGACCAGCCAGAAUGGGAUCUCUUCCCCUGCUCUUUUGGACUCUUUGUGCUAUCAGCAAUACACCACCCUGGUGGGGAAAAGGAUGUUAUGAAUUCAUCAUAAAGGACCUUCUAUCUGCGGGCACCAUCCAAUCAGCUAUCUCUGCCUGUAAUAGCCCAGUGUGGCCAGUAAAAAAGGAGAAACCUGGAAGAAAAAUACCUUCAUCCAGCUGACCCAGGCCAUCAUGGCAGCAGGGAACCUGACCGACUGCUAGAUCUUCCAUCUGACCCCUUGCUCCCUCUCCCUUCUUUGUCAAGUUCGGAUUGACAUUCAAAGAGCUGAUUUUCCCUGCUUCACAUUUGAACUAACAUAAAAAAGUCCUUCAUUACACCUUGUCACAAAGAUAAAUUCUUCUCCACACCCCUGAAGAAGCUGUCAGGAUGUAACAACUCCCGAUAAAAUACAACUGACAAAUAGCUCAGUCAUCAUUCCAAUUUAUUAUCUAAAUCAAAGCAUGAUUUGUUUGGUGGGGAGGUGUCUAUGAUUCUGGAUUCAUCUCUUUUGAUACAUCAUUAUUGCCCUGGCUGGGAGUAAA